rnacentral:rRNA from 1 species
CCUUAGAGUUUGAUCCUGGCUCAGGAUGAACGCUAGCUACAGGCUUAACACAUGCAAGUCGAGGGGCAGCAUCAUCAAAGCUUGCUCUGAUGGAUGGCGACCGGCGCACGGGUGAGUAACACGUAUCCAACCUGCCGACAACACUGGGAUAGCCUUUCGAAAGAAAGAUUAAUACCGGAUGGCAUAGUUUUCCCGCAUGGGAUAAUUAUUAAAGAAUUUCGGUUGUCGAAGGGGAUGCGUUCCAUUAGGCAGUUGGCGGGGUAACGGCCCACCAAACCAACGAUGGAUAGGGGUUCUGAGAGGAAGGUCCCCCACAUUGGAACUGAGACACGGUCCAAACUCCUACGGGAGGCAGCAGUGAGGAAUAUUGGUCAAUGGACGAGAGUCUGAACCAGCCAAGUAGCGUGAAGGAUGACUGCCCUAUGGGUUGUAAACUUCUUUUAUACGGGAAUAAAGUUAGCCACGUGUGGCUUUUUGUAUGUACCGUAUGAAUAAGGAUCGGCUAACUCCGUGCCAGCAGCCGCGGUAAUACGGAGGAUCCGAGCGUUAUCCGGAUUUAUUGGGUUUAAAGGGAGCGUAGAUGGAUGUUUAAGUCAGUUGUGAAAGUUUGCGGCUCAACCGUAAAAUUGCAGUUGAUACUGGAUAUCUUGAGUGCAGUUGAGGCAGGCGGAAUUCGUGGUGUAGCGGUGAAAUGCUUAGAUAUCACGAAGAACUCCGAUUGCGAAGGCAGCCUGCUAAGCUGCAACUGACAUUGAGGCUCGAAAGUGUGGGUAUCAAACAGGAUUAGAUACCCUGGUAGUCCACACGGUAAACGAUGAAUACUCGCUGUUUGCGAUAUACAGCAAGCGGCCAAGCGAAAGCGUUAAGUAUUCCACCUGGGGAGUACGCCGGCAACGGUGAAACUCAAAGGAAUUGACGGGGGCCCGCACAAGCGGAGGAACAUGUGGUUUAAUUCGAUGAUACGCGAGGAACCUUACCCGGGCUUAAAUUGCAGAUGAAUUACGGUGAAAGCCGUAAGCCGCAAGGCAUCUGUGAAGGUGCUGCAAGGUUGUCGUCAGCUCGUGCCGUGAGGUGUCGGCUUAAGUGCCAUAACGAGCGCAACCCUUGUUGUCAGUUACUAACAGGUUCCGCUGAGGACUCUGACAAGACUGCCAUCGUAAGAUGUGAGGAAGGUGGGGAUGACGUCAAAUCAGCACGGCCCUUACGUCCGGGGCUACACACGUGUUACAAUGGGGGGUACAGAGGGCCGCUACCACGCGAGUGGAUGCCAAUCCCCAAAACCUCUCUCAGUUCGGACUGGAGUCUGCAACCCGACUCCACGAAGCUGGAUUCGCUAGUAAUCGCGCAUCAGCCACGGCGCGGUGAAUACAAUCCCGGGCCUUGCACACACCGCCCGUCAAG